GUGACAGAAGGUGAGAGUGAGACUUGUAGGAGCGCGUAUGAUUAGACACAGGAGAGACAUCACCAGCAGCAAGCAGUAGUAGCAGUGAGAGUGACAGAAGGUGAGAGUGAGACUUGUAGGAGCGCGUAUGAUUAUACACAGGAAAGAUAUCACCAGCAGCAAGCAGUAGUAGGAGUGGGAGUGACAGAAGGUGAGAGUGAGACUUGUAGGAGCGCGUAUGAUUAGACACAGGAGAGACGUCACCAGCAGCAAGCAGUUGUAGCAGUGAGAGUGACAGAAGGUGAGAGUGAGACUUGUAGGAGCGGGUAUGACUAGACACAGGAGAGACAUCACCAGCAGCAAGCAGUAGUAGCAGUGAGAGUGACAGAAGGUGAGAGUGAGACUUGUAGGAGCGGGUAUGACUAGACACAGGAGAGACAUCACCAGCAGCAAGCAGUAGUAGCAGUGAGAGUGACAGAAGGUGAGAGUGAGACUUGUAGGAGCGUGUAAGAUUAGACACAGGAGAGACAUCACCAGCAGCAAGCAGUAGUAGCAGUGAGAGUGACAGAAGGUGAGAGUGAGAUUUGUAGGAGCGGUUGUGAUUAGACACAGGAGAGACAUCACCAGCAGCAAGCAGUAGUAGCAGUGUGAGUGACAGAAGGUGAGAGUGAGACUUGUAGGAGCGCGUAUGAUUAGACACAGGAGAGACAUCACCAGCAGCAAGCAGUAGUAGCAGUGAGAGUGACAGAAGGUGAGAGUGAGACUUGUAGGAGCGUGUAUGAUUAGACACAGGAGAGACAUCACCAGCAGCAAUCAGUAGUAGCAGUGAGAGUGACAGAAGGUGAGAGUGAGACUUGUAGGAGCGCGUAUGAUUAGACACAAGAGACAUCACCAGCAGCAAGCAGUAGUAGCACUAAGAGUGACAGAAGGUGAGAGUGAGACUUGUAGGAGCGGGUAUGAUUAGACACAGGAGAGACAUCACCAGCAGCAAGCAGUAGUAGUAGUGAGAGUGACAGAAGGUGAGAGUGAGACUUGUAGGAGCGACUGUGAUUAGACACAGGAGAGACAUCACCAGCAGCAAGCAGUAGUAGCAGUGAGAGUGACAGAAGGUGAGAGUGAGACUUGUAGGAGCGACUGUGAUUAGACACAGGAGAGACAUCACCAGCAGCAAGCAGUAGUAGCAGUGAGAGUGACAGAAGGUGACAGUGAGACUUUAUAGGAGCGGGUAUGAUUAGACACAGGAGAGACGUCACCAGCAGCAAGCAGUAGUAGCAGUGAGAGUGACAGAAGGUGAGAGUGAGACUUGUAGGAGCGUGUAUGACUAGACACAGGAGAGACAUCACCAGCAGCAAGCAGUAGUAGUAGUGAGAGUGACAGAAGGUGAGAGUGAGACUUGUAGGAGCGUGUAUGAUUAGACACAGGAGAGACAUCACCAGCAGCAAGCAGUAGUAGUAGUGAGAGUGACAGGAGGUGAGAGUGAGACUUGUAGGAGCGUGUAUGAUUAGACACAGGAGAGACAUCACCAGCAGCAAGCAGUAGUAGCAGUGACAGAAGGUGAGAGUGAGACUUGUAGGAGCGUGUAUGAUUAGACACAGGAGAGACAUCACCAGCAGCAAGCAGUAGUAGUAGUGAGAGUGACAGAAGGUGAGAGUGAGACUUGUAGGAGCGACUGUGAUUAGACACAGGAGAGACAUCACUAACAGCAAGCAGUAGUAGCAGUGAGAGUGACAGAAGGUGAGAAUGAGACUUGUAGGAGCGCGUAUGACUAGACACAGGAGAGACAUCACCAGCAGCAAGCAGUAGUAGCAGUGUGAGUGACAGAAGGUGAGAGUGAGACUUGUAGGAGCGCGUAUGACUAGACACAGGAGAGACAUCACCAGCAGCAAGCAGUAGUAGCAGUGUGAGUGACAGAUGGUGAGAGUGAGACUUGUAGGAGUGCGUAUGAUUAGACACAGGAGAGACGUCACCAGCAGCAAGCAGUAGUAGCAGUGAGAGUGACAGAAGGUGAGAGUGAGACUUGUAGGAGCGUGUAUGACUAGACACAGGAGAGAUGUCACCAGCAGCAAGCAGUAGUAGCAGUGAGAGUGACAGAAGGUGAGAGUGAGACUUGUAGGAGCGCGUAUGAUUAGACACAGGAGAGACAUCACCAGCAGCAAGCAGUAGUAGCAGUGUGAGUGACAGAAGGUGAGAGUGAGACUUGUAGGAGCGGGUAUGAUUAGACACAGGAGAGACGUCACCAGCAGCAAGCAGUAGUAGCAGUGAGAGUGACAGAAGGUGAGAGUGAGACUUGUAGGAGCGGCUGUGAUUAGACACAGGAGAGACAUCACCAGCAGCAAGCAGUAGUAGCAGUGAGAGUGACAGAAGGUGAGAGUGAGACUUGUAGGAGCGUGUAUGACUAGACACAGGAGAGACAUCACCAGCAGCAAGCAGUAGUAGCAGUGAGAGUGACAGAAGGUGAGAGUGAGACUUGUAGGAGCGUGUAUGAUUAGACACAGGAGAGACAUCACCAGCAGCAAGCAGUAGUAGCAGUGACAGAAGGUGAGAGUGAGACUUGUAGGAGCGGGUAUGAUUAGACACAGGAGAGACAUCACCAGCAGCAAGCAGUAGUAGCAGUGGGAGUGACAGAAGGUGAGAGUGAGACUUGUAGGAGCGUGUAUGAUUAUACACAGGAGAGACAUCACCAGCAGCAAGCAGUAGUAGCAGUGGGAGUGACAGAAGGUGAGAGUGAGACUUGUAGGAGCGUGUAUGAUUAUACACAGGAGAGACGUCACCAGCAGCAAGCAGUAGUAGCAGUGAGAGUGACAGAAGGUGAGAGUGAGACUUGUAGGAGCGGGUAUGACUAGACACAGGAGAGACAUCACCAGCAGCAAGCAGUAGUAGUAGUGAGAGUGACAGAAGGUGAGAGUGAGAUUUGUAGGACCGUGUAUGAUUAGACACAGGAGAGACAUCACCAGCAGCAAGCAGUAGUAGCAGUGACAGAAGGUGAGAGUGAGACUUGUAGGAGCGGGUAUGAUUAGACACAGGAGAGACAUCACCAGCAGCAAGCAGUAGUAGCAGUGAGAGUGACAGAAGGUGAGAGUGAGACUUGUAGGACCGUGUAUGAUUAGACACAGGAGAGACAUCACCAGCAGCAAGCAGUAGUAGCAGUGACAGAAGGUGAGAGUGAGACUUGUAGGAGCGGGUAUGAUUAGACACAGGAGAGACAUCACCAGCAGCAAGCAGUAGUAGCAGUGAGAGUGACAGAAGGUGAGAGUGAGACUUGUAGGAGCGUGUAUGACUAGACACAGGAGAGACAUCACCAGCAGCAAGCAGUAGUAGCAGUGGGAGUGACAGAAGGUGAGAGUGAGACUUGUAGGAGCGUGUAUGAUUAGACACAGGAGAGACGUCACCAGCAGCAAGCAGUAGUAGCAGUGACAGAAGGUGAGAGUGAGACUUGUAGGAGCGGGUAAGAUUAGACACAGGAGAGACGUCACCAGCAGCAAGCAGUAGUAGCAGUGAGAGUGACAGAAGGUGAGAGUGAGACUUGUAGGAGCGCGUAUGAUUAGACACAGGAGAGACAUCACCAGCAGCAAGCAGUAGUAGCAGUGAGAGUGACAGAAGGUGAGAGUGAGACUUGUAGGAGCGCGUAUGAUUAGACACAGGAGAGACAUCACCAGCAGCAAGCAGUAGUAGCAGUGGGAGUGACAGAAGGUGAGAGUGAGACUUGUAGGAGCGGCUGUGAUUAGACACAGGAGAGACGUCACCAGCAGCAAGCAGUGACAGAAGGUGAGAGUGAGACUUGUAGGAGCGUGUAUGAUUAGACACAGGAGAGACGUCACCAGCAGCAAGCAGUAGUAGCAGUGAGAGUGACAGAAGGUGAGAGUGAGACUUGUAGGAGCGACUGUGAUUAGACACAGGAGAGACGUCACCAGCAGCAAGCAGUGACAGAAGGUGAGAGUGAGACUUGUAGGAGCGUGUAUGAUUAGACACAGGAGAGACGUCACCAGCAGCAAGCAGUAGUAGCAGUGAGAGUGACAGAAGGUGAGAGUGAGACUUGUAGGAGCGACUGUGAUUAGACACAGGAGAGACGUCACCAGCAGCAAGCAGUGACAGAAGGUGAGAGUGAGACUUGUAGGAGCGUGUAUGAUUAGACACAGGAGAGACAUCACCAGCAGCAAGCAGUAUUAGCAGUGAGAGUGAGACUUGUAGGAGCGGCUGUGAUUAGGCACAGGAGAGACAUCACCAGCAGCAAGCAGUAGUAGCAGUGAGAGUGAGACUUGUAGGAGCGUGUAUGAUUAGACACAGGAGAGACAUCACCAGCAGCAAGCAGUAGUAGCAGUGACAGUGAGACUUGUAGGAGCGCGUAUGACUAGACACAGGAGAGACAUCACCAGCAGCAAGCAGUAGUAGCAGUGAGAGGGACAGAAGGUGAGAGUGAGACUUGUAGGAGCGGCUGUGAUUAGGCACAGGAGAGACAUCACCAGCAGCAAGCAGUAGUAGCAGUGACAGUGAGACUUGUAAGAGCGCGUAUGAUUAGACACAGGAGAGACAUCACCAGCAGCAAGCAGUAGUAGUGAGAGUGACAGAAGGUGAGAGUGAGACUUGUAGGAGCGUGUAUGAUUAGACACAGGAGAGACAUCACCAGCAGCAAGCAGUAGUAGCAGUGAGAGUGACAGAAGGUGAGAGUGAGACUUGUAGGAGCGCGUAUGAUUAGACACAGGAGAGACGUCACCAGCACCAAGCAGUAGUAGCAGUGAGAGUGACAGAAGGUGAGAGUGAGACUUGUAGGAGCGGCUGUGAUUAGACACAGGAGAGACAUCACCAGCAGCAAGCAGUAGUAGCAGUGACAGUGAGACUUGUAGGAGCGGCUGUGAUUAGACAGAGUUGGAGGGGGAAGUAUUGCUAAGGAGACAGAGUAGUUCAUGAGAGCACAGCAUAGGGGAUUAGAGAAGGGAGGGUGAGAUAUGGAUAGUGUGGGGAUUGUUAUAGGGACAUGCAGUGAGUUUGAGGAGGAGGGCAGACAGAGAGCAGUAAAGACAUGCAGAGCAUUAUGUAGGUGUAUAGUUAAUACAUUUACCGGUUAGUGGGACUGCAGUUUCUAACUCCAGUGAGUAACUAUGUGAGCUACUUGUAACAGAGAGCCACAGCUCAAAAAUGAGCCUUCUGCAUGCUGUAUGUAGAGUGAAAGUGAUGAGCGGAUUCUGAGCUAGCCACAAGUUACACACUUGCAAAUUAGAGGGGGGUGGGGUGGCAGGAUGAAUGAAAUUUAGACGGCAUCUGAUAAAAUUAUUACAGGUAGACAAAAUGGAGAUGGAGGAAAUGGUUACCAGGGAAAUCUAACACAAAUUAAAAGAAGUCAGGGAGGCAGAAGCAGGAAGACAUACCUGUAGAGAGAUGAAGCAUUGUGGUUAUGGGUCCAGUGAGUAACUCCGCUACUUGUAACAUAGAGCUACUUAGAAUCUGAGAGCCACGGCUCAAGAAUGAGCCUUAUGCAUGCUGUAUGUAGAGUGAAAGUGAUGAGCGGACUCUGAGCAGCUGUGUUUUGGAUAGCAGAAUAUAUUAUAUUAGAAAGUAUUACAAUGUCCCUUACCCUAGUUAAAUUGAUAUCUCACUGCAGAAUUAAUUUGGAUUAAGAAAAAUAUUCUUAAACAAAGUAGCCCUCCAAACAUCCUGCAGUAUCUCACCCAAGCUCUGUACCUGGUUUUACUUGAUUUGUCUGCAGUGUUGCGUAUAAGAAGUGCGCUUGCUGUGUGCGAGAUGCAGCAGUUGGUCACUGUGCAGUGUUUUGUAUAAGAAGCGCGCUUGCUGUGUGCGAGAUGCA